GGCGAUGUAGCCUAACGGUAAGGCACCUGCUUGACAGGCAGGGUAACGGGGUUCUCCGCAACCAAUAACAAUGUCAAAGCGGAUCCGCCUCUGGCGGAAAAUCCCUGCGUCGCCACCA
rnacentral:tRNA from 1 species